GACGAACCGAGCAAACGUUAUUCGGAAUCACUGGGCUUAAAGGGCGCGUAGGCGGGCACCAAAGUCUGUGGUGAAAUCCGGCAGCUUAACUGUCGAACUGCCAUGGAUACUGGGUGUCUCGAGGAAGGUAGGGGCGUGCGGAACUAUUGGUGGAGCGGUGAAAUGCGUUGAUAUCAAUAGGAACUCCGGUGGCGAAGGCGGCACGCUGGACCUUAUCUGACGCUGAGGCGCGAAAGCCAGGGGAGCAAACGGG
rnacentral:rRNA from 1 species